AGGCGGGGUCCCAUAAGGGAAGUGUAGAUGUGACACUGACCUGCCUUUCUCUGGGUGCUGCCCAGGUGAGAGGUAAAAAUCCUGAGCCCCGCUGGCAUGUCCAGGACCCAGCUCCCCGGCCCGGGCCAUUGUAGAAUAGCCACUGCCCUGUAUCUAGCUCAGAGGCUAAGUGACCUGAGCACAUGAACUCUGGAAUUCGAAUCCUGCCUCUAGUGCCUUUGUGAACUUGGAUUGCGCAAUGGAAAUCAUUGAGGUUUACUGAACAUUACUAAACAAAACUGGGAAAGAGAUGGACGGUAUGACUCAACAGCUUUCCCUUCCAGAGUGACUGCUCUGUUCUUGUGUAACUGCGAAUCAGCCAAUGUGCCAUUGUAGCCUGUGGCAGCCAGGAUCAAUCAGGAUCUCAGCAGAGAAGUGUGUUGCUUUGAGAGCUCUUCCCAGACAUUCUCACUACAGUGUUUAUUAUCCUGUCUAUGUGAAAUCCCAAAGCAAGGCUGCUGAAGUGCGGGAUGGAAAAAAUGCAACAAAGAAUGCUCGACUAUUCAGUCUUAGUCAAGUAUUUUCACCAUACAAUGCUUAGUACUGGUGCUGUGCACAGCUCCCUGUGGAAAGAAAGGGCCACUGGAUCCAAAGACUCCUGGUCCUGACACAAUGUUACUGGUGAUAUAUCAGUGUCUCCAGUGCAUUCACUGUCCCUGGCAGACCCACCCCAGUUCUGGUCCAUUCUGUUACAAAAAAAGAUACAUUAAAACAAAAAUAUUAUCCUAGCCAUCACAUCGUCUGGUUGGCAUUAAAACAACCAACCAACAAAAUGUUCCUCCUAACCUGAUCUGACAGUCCUGAACAAGAUACGCUCCAAUGGCUAAUCGAUUUCACUAGCAUGAAGGCUGCGCCCUAUGUAACAUAGAUCAGGCCUGCGGAAAAGGGAGACCAGCUAAAGCAACCUCUGCAGCAAGCUGAAACACCCAACAAAAUACAGCAUCACUCAAAAUAAAGAAAAUCCCAGAUAAGGGAAUGAAUCUGCCUCUAACAGGUUGGCAGUAUUUGCCUGAAACAGUCUACUGCUCCUACUAGAAGCAGGUACAUGGGUCCUGGAGACUCCCUGAAGCAGGCGGCUUGUUGUCCCAGCCAGAGAGAAAGGAGAUGGGAGUGGCUGUCUUAGAAACAAGAUCUCUAGGACAUGGGCUGAGCAUUCCUGAGGGAGGACCCCGCUGACCAACCCAAGUCUGGGCAGAAAGUUUGAGCUGAACUUUGUUACCUUAUUGUUGAUAUCUGUGUUUAUUCAAACAAACCUCCAGGCAGAGGGAGUCUGGGCUCUACAGGGCAUGUGGAGUGGUAUUUGAGAGCAGGACAGGAACAACACCGGCUCACCUUCCCUGGCUACCAAGAGGGUGAUUCAAUAGAAAACAGACCCAGUAAAACUGAGCAUAUUAAACCUUCCCAAGCCCAAAACUAAGUGAUACCUGGGAAGAUACUGGAUCAAAUUAUUAAACAAUCAGCUUGUAAGCACCUAGAGGAUAAUAGGUUUAUAAGAAAUAGCCACAAAUCAGACAUCAGGAAUAGUAACAUACAAAAGCCAGU